GAUGAACGCUGGCGGCGUGCCUAACACAUGCAAGUCGAACGGAGUCGUUUUGGAAAUCUCUUCGGAGAUGGAAUUCUCGACUUAGUGGCGGACGGGUGAGUAACGCGUGAGCAAUCUGCCUUUAAGAGGGGGAUAACAGUCGGAAACGGCUGCUAAUACCGCAUAAAGCAUUAAAUUCGCAUGUUUUUGAUGCCAAAGGAGCAAUCCGCUUUUAGAUGAGCUCGCGUCUGAUUAGCUAGUUGGCGGGGUAACGGCCCACCAAGGCGACGAUCAGUAGCCGGACUGAGAGGUUGAACGGCCACAUUGGGACUGAGACACGGCCCAGACUCCUACGGGAGGCAGCAGUGGGGAAUAUUGCGCAAUGGGGGAAACCCUGACGCAGCAACGCCGCGUGAUUGAAGAAGGCCUUCAGGUUGUAAAGAUCUUUAAUCAGGGACGAAACAAAUGACGGUACCUGAAGAAUAAGCUCCGGCUAACUACGUG
rnacentral:rRNA from 1 species